AUAUAUUUGUUUUGAAUAUUUUUAUUGUGUGCAUAAUAUAAAGUCAUACAUCAGAUGAGUUUGUAGUAAAGCAAGUGUUUGCCCACGCAGGGGCUCAGAUAUUAGUUUAACGCUGCACAUACAUUUGGUUGCCUGCGCAGAGGCGGAGUUGUCUUAACUUGCGUUUUUGUUCACAGGUGGUUGCUUUGUGUUUUAUGCUCUUAUGUAUCGUGUUGCCUUAUUAGUUCAAUUAUAGCGUUAAGUAUGUGUUUUAUAUUAACUAGUGUAUGUCAGUGCUGCGUGUUUGCUAGUUGGUAAAUGCACAUUGUCUCCUAUACAGAGGCAAAUUAAUCAGCUUGCUAAGUAGAGUCAGGCGAUAAGCAACAAUCUGCGUUACAGAAACUUUUUUCUACUUUCAUCAUUAGGAGCACAUUUGUUUGCAGUCUGCUGCCUUAAGGGAUAACAGAGCUGUUUGGAUAUCAGGUUUACGGUACUAAGCGGAAAUUAAUCAGCUUGCUAAUUAUAGUCAGACAUUAAGCAACAAUCUAAGCUACAAAAGCUUUUUCAACUGUCAGCAUAAGGAGCAUAUUUGUUUGCAGUCUGCUGCCUUAAUAGAUAAUAGAGCUAUUUGGAUAUCAGGUUUACAGCAAUAAGCGACUGUACCGUCUAUCAUGUGGCAGUCAGUGAUCAAAUAUGCUAUCAAACCGCACUUUCCCCUGGUAAUUCAAAAACAGCAUCAUAUUAGCGAAAUAGAUACGAACUGAAUGCAGCUGUUAAGACACACGUACGAGCUAUCCAUUGAAAACUUAUUCGCAUUAAAACGGCAUUAACUAUAAUCAUGAAUAAAAGCCCCUGAGUAAUCUUUAUAUAUAUCUGGGCUUAUGUGAGGAACUUCUCAAGUGUCCAGAAUUGCACAUGAGCUUGCUUAUAGGUGUGGGGGAGUGUCUUUAACUAUGUGAAUUAGCCCGCGGGUGGUUGUCCCAUAGAAGCCGCAGUAAGUGCCAUAUGAGCAGCGGCUAUGCAGGUGAUAAAACCUAACUGUUUUACGCCCGUGUGGCUCAGGUAUUUAAUCGAAGCAGGUCUUUGCUAUGGGCAAGCUUUAUACAGUUUAGAGUGUAAUAAACAUUAUGUAACCUCAGUGAACAAAUGCCUCAGGGGGCAAUUCUAAGCAAGAAACUAUAUACUUAUUCACAUUAAAACAUCUUAAUUAUCUAAUAGUAUAGACGCUAUAUUACUUAUCAAUCUGAUACCAGCGGUAACUAUUGGUGUAGUAUGUAAGCCAUGUCGUGAAGUUAGGGUCUGAGUAUCUUAUGUUGCAGUUCGGUUAUUAGACAAGCUCUAAUUAACGGCAUUAGGCGUAUGCCCUCCGGGGCUCUUUGGCGUGGGAUGUCGUCCUGUGUGACAGUCCCAGGUCUCACAUGCCUCUGCUACAGCACAGUCCCAGGGUUGCCGAACCUCCUUCCGUCUUCUCCCCGCCUACUCCAGUCCGCUGGCUGCGUCCUCCACUGUGCCGUGGGCACCCAAGGGCUGAGGCCGUCCACUCGACCCCACCACAAAGUCUGUGGCCCGCCCGCCCUCUGCACCUCCCCAACACCGUGUCGUUCCACACAGAGUGUGUUCCCCCAAGUCUCUCCCGCUGUCGGCCUCACUCUUGGGGCCGGUAUACGUAUCUCACGGCCACCGGUCCGCCGGAAGGGCAGCACACUCCUGCCCCACAGGGCUCGCGGCAGCGGGGACAUAGCUCUCCGGGGACCCCCAUACCCGGAUGCCGGGGUACUCACUGCUCCAGCGGGUGCAGGGUAAGCGCGAAGGUUCCAUCCGGCGUCAGCUUCACCUGUGCCUGUAUGAGCAGUUCAUGCCAGACCCCCCUAGCGAGUGCGCUGUUCCGCCUCACCCUCUGGGCCCCCACCAGCUCAUAGUUCUCCUUUGUCAUGGUGCACUUUCUCCAUCUUGUCUGCCUCUUUAGUCCCUAUGGUCCAUUUUCCUGGUGGGCCCCAUCCUGGCAGCCUUUGCCAGUGUAGGGGUGCAGAAUGGUGCUCUCCCCGUGAGGGUCCAAGCCCUCUUGCAACCGAUCUGGGUGCCUCCUCGGGUGAGUGUUUCAGCCCCUCCGCGGGCACCUCUAAUGUUGCUGGCUGGCUGAGUGUCAUGCAGCCGGUGCCAGUGCAGGCGGUCGGCAUCCGGACCGCAUGGGGACCCCCGCUGCGGCCCGUGCCUCCGCCUGGAGGCCGAGAUAUCCCCCGCCGGCCAAAAAAGGGGGGGGGGGCAGGGCCGUGCCCCGGGCCGCAUAUCUCCCCCUGUCGAGGUGUCUAUAGUGGGACGCCACUGUUCUCUGCUCCGCAGCGCCGUGUUGCCUGUAAUGGCCGCCGGUAUUCUGGCACUCUGCCUCGUGUAGGCCGGGCCCGGCCCUCUCUGCUUGCCUGGCUUGCGGUGGGCAUCGUGCAGGUAUCGGGGGUAAGCUGGUGCCGUUCUCUGUUUGAAUCUGGCGGAGUAUAGCAUAGUUAGGCAGUCUGGGGUGAUUGCUUUAGUGCCUUUUUUAUCCGCUUAGUGCAGGAGCUCAUGUUAAUGGCGUCCAUUCGGCCCGGCGGCCCGGCCCCGCCCC
rnacentral:lncRNA from 1 species